rnacentral:rRNA from 1 species
ACGUACUGCGCGAACGUUAUUCGGAAUCACUGGGCUUAAAGGGUGCGUAGGCGGUUUUUCAAGUCAGGUGUGAAAUCUUUCGGCUCAACCGGAAAAUGGCGCUUGAAACUGAGAGACUGGAGUAUGCUAGGGGUGUGCGGAACUGCCAGUGGAGCGGUGAAAUGUGUUGAGAUUGGCAGGAACGCCGGUGGCGAAAGCGGCACACUGGGGCAUAACUGACGCUGAGGCACGAAAGCCAGGGUAGCGAACGGGA